rnacentral:rRNA from 1 species
AUUGAACGCUGGCGGCAUGCCUUACACAUGCAAGUCGAACGGUAACAGGUCUUCGGAUGCUGACGGGUGGCGAACGGGUGAGUAAUACAUCGGAACGUGCCCGAGAGUGGGGGAUAACGAGGCGAAAGCUUUGCUAAUACCGCAUACGAUCUCAGGAUGAAAGCAGGGGACCGCAAGGCCUUGCGCUCACGGAGCGGCCGAUGGCAGAUUAGGUAGUUGGUGGGAUAAAAGCUUACCAAGCCGACGUUCUGUAGCUGGUCUGAGAGGACGACCAGCCACACUGGGACUGAGACACGGCCCAGACUCCUACGGGAGGCAGCAGUGGGGAAUUUUGGACAAUGGGCGCAAGCCUGAUCCAGCCAUGCCGCGUGCAGGAUGAAGGCCUUCGGGUUGUAAACUGCUUUUGUACGGAACGAAAAGACUCUGGUUAAUACCUGGGGUCCAUGACGGUACCGUAAGAAUAAGCACCGGCUAACUACGUGCCAGCCGCCGCCGUAAGAC